UUUUUCUCUCUGCCUCUCCCUUCCUCUCCCUCUCCCUCCUACUCUUUCUAUCUUCCUCUUCCUCUCUCUUUCUCUCUCUCUCGCUCUCUCUCUCUCUCUCGCUGUCUCUCUCUCUCUCGCUCUCUCUCUCUCUCUCACCAUUUCUGUUUGUCUCUCAUAGCCCUCUACAUUCCACCAACGUUUUAAAACGUUUCAUCCUAUCUUUUGAAGAAUUUUUCUUAUAGAACUUAGUUGUUUAAAAUCUCAAACUUAUUUGAUUUCAUAUUAUAAUACUUGAGGCUUUUCAAUGCGCAUAAACGUAAAGAUUAAUUUUCUUGUUGUUCUUUCGAUCAACGUACUGCGUAUGUAAAUGAAAUAGAGGUUAGAAUAAUACGUUUAAGGAAAAGCAGAUGUAUUUUUAAAGGGAACUACUUUUAUCCUGCUAUUUGUUCGCUAUUGUUUAGAGUUCGUAAUUAUAUAUACAUACAUAUAUUUGAGAUCACGGAUAUAUAAUAUUGUAAAAGUACUACGUAGUUCAACUUUACAGCAAAAUAACAAAUGAAAAUCUACAAAAUGAUUUCUUUUUGGUAAAAUUAAAAAUAAAUGUUAACUAACAUUGAAUUAUGAUACUCAUCGAUCAAUUAAAAUUAUUUUAAAAUGUAUUUUCAAAGAUGUAACAUACUCUUUCGUAAUCGAAUAUGAAGACGUUAGUUUAUUGAGGAUUAUUAAAGAUGAGUAAAAAGAAUUGUAUAAACUAUGAAGAUCGAUUAAAGUUUCUUCUUGCUAUUAUGACUGAAAAUUAUGAUGAUGCUAUUGAAGUAGGAUCUUCAGUUUUAAAACAGAACCCAAAUGAUCUAAGCAUUCUGAAAAUAUUAUCUGCCGUUAAAGAUAAAAUUGACUGACCUAACGCAAAUCAUCCAGACCAAAAGAACAACAAAAAUGAUGAGAAUAACUCCUCCUGCGAUACCACCAGUAAUAUAGAAGAACUCAGACUUCUCAGUACAAUGUUUGCCUGUGAAACUGCCACUACACCUGCAGGAUGGUUGUCCUCUGGAAUCCUUCAGACAUACACCCUCGUUGUCGCAAUAGCCCAUGCAAACGUCUGUACACUCCGUUCCAGUACCGUUGUAUCCUGGUUUACAUUCGCACUUGAAGUCACUUGUCUCUGGUAUAAGUAAACAAUAGGCAUUUGCGUCGCAAUGCAUUUCUUCGCCGCUUGUUUCGCAUGGAUUGGUGCAAUCGGAUUUGCUGGUCUGUAAGAACAAAUGUUAAACGUUAAGGUAAGAAUAUGAUUUUGUUUUUGUUAAUUAUAAAUGGAUUUAUAGAGUAGUUUUAAUUCGUGGUAUAUUUAGAAAUAUUAGUUUAUGAUAAAUAAUCUAAAACAUAAUAAACAAAAAAAGAUGAUCUGAACCACUUAUUGCCAGUGGUUAAUUGGUUAGCAUAAGUACGCUUUAAGUAAUAUAGGGAUAUAUUAAACUAAUACUUACUGCAGCUGGUCCUUUGGUACUGGUAUUGGGUGGACAAGGUAUACAGAAAGUCUGUUGAGGUUCCGACUGAUAAGUGCCCUUUUUACAUUGCAUACAUUCGUUAAGUGUACCAUUCAAAUGAGUACCGGGUUCACAAACUGGUAAAGAACACUCUUCGAUAGCUGCCGAUCCUACAUUGGGCGUUGUCCUACCUACUGGACAAGCUUGGCAGGAUGCUUGAACACCUUGAGUACGAUAAGUACCUCUUGGACAUGGUUCACAUUUGCCUUCAACGGCGAGCUGUUGUCCAGAACCGCAUUCGUCUCUACAUUCUUCGCGAGACACAGCUUCCGCUGUUCUAGUUGUUUUUCCAAGACCACAUAGCAAGCAGGAGAAACUACCCUCGUUUGGUUGAUAAAAUCCGUGUCCACAACUACGACACAAACCAGCUGCAUCGUCGUAAUACUUUCCUGCUGGACAUCGUUCUUUGCAAUCAGCAGCACUUCGUGCACCGACUCCAACCGUCACGCUAGGUCGACCAGCAAUCACGGGACAUGAGCUGCAUUUCGUUCGACCUGAUUCACUUUGAUAAGUGCCCACAGGACAGGAGAUACAACGUUGGGUCUCUUCAUCAUAAUAUGUACCCACAGCACAUGGGUGAUCAUUAUAGAAGGAAGUAUUCUAAUUUUAUUUAAGAUAGGUUCUUACCACAAUCAGGAGCCAUUACAACUUGACCGAUAGGGCAAGCAUAAUCUGAUUUCAAUGUUAAAGAUGCUGGAUCUGGUACAGUGUUUGGUA